rnacentral:rRNA from 1 species
GGUAGACUCGGAUUUUCGGGCUUCGGCUCGACUCUCCCACCCCUUUGUGAACGUACCUCUGUUGCUUUGGCGGCUCCGGCCGCCAAAGGACCUCCAAACUCCAGUCAGUAAACGCAGACGUCUGAUAAACAAGUUAAUAAACUAAAACUUUCAACAACGGAUCUCUUGGUUCUGGCAUCGAUGAAGAACGCAGCAGCA